rnacentral:rRNA from 1 species
UAGGGAAUUUUCGUCAAUGGGGGCAACCCUGAACGAGCAAUGCCGCGUGAGCGAAGAAGGUCUUCGGAUUGUAAAGCUCUGUUGCCGGGGAAAAAGGAAAGAAAGAGGAAAUGCUUUUUCUUUGGAUGGUACCCGGCCAGAAAGUCACGGCUAACUACGUGCC